rnacentral:sRNA from 1 species
UCCUGCAUCUGCCCGUAGGUCGCCUGC